GUGAAGAACGCAGCGAAAUGCGAUAAGUAAUGUGAAUUGCAGAAUUCAGUGAAUCAUCGAAUCUUUGAACGCACAUUGCGCCCCUUGGUAUUCCGGGGGGCAUGCCUGUUCGAGCGUCAUUUCAACCCUCAAGCUUCUGCUUGGUCUUGGGCCGUGCCGGCAACGGCUGGCCUUAAAACUAGUGGCGGUGCCAUCGAGCUCUACGCGUAGUAAUUCUAUCUCGCGUCUGGGCUUCGGUGGACGCUGGCCAGCAACCCCCAAUUUUCUAUGGUUGACCUCGGAUCAGGUAGGGAUACCCGCUGAACUUAAGCAUAUCAAUAAGCGGAGGA
rnacentral:misc_RNA from 1 species